ACCUGCCCAGAAGCGGGGGAUAACACCUGGAAACAGAUGCUAAUACCGCAUAACAACUUGGACCGCAUGGUCCGAGCUUGAAAGAUGGCUUCGGCUAUCACUUUUGGAUGGUCCCGCGGCGUAUUAGCUAGAUGGUGGGGUAACGGCUCACCAUGGCAAUGAUACGUAGCCGACCUGAGAGGGUAAUCGGCCACAUUGGGACUGAGACACGGCCCAAACUCCUACGGGAGGCAGCAGUAGGGAAUCUUCCACAAUGGACGAAAGUCUGAUGGAGCAACGCCGCGUGAGUGAAGAAGGGUUUCGGCUCGUAAAACUCUGUUGUUAAAGAAGAACAUAUCUGAGAGUAACUGUUCAGGUAUUGACGGUAUUUAACCAGAAAGCCACGGCUAACUACGUGCCAGCAGCCGCGGUAAUACGUAGGUGGCAAGCGUUGUCCGGAUUUAUUGGGCGUAAAGCGAGCGCAAGCGGUUUUUUAAGUCUGAUGUGAAAGCCUUCGGCUCAACCGAAGAAGUGCAUCGGAAAACUGGGAAACUUGAGUGCAGAAGAGGACAGUGGGAACUCCAUGUGUAGCGGUGAAAUGCGUAGAUAUAUGGAAGAACACCAGUGGCGAAGGCGGCUGUCUGGUCUGUAACUGACGCUGAGGCUCGAAAAGUAUGGGUAGCAAACAGGGAUUAGAUACCCUGGUAGUCCAUACCGUAAACGAUGAAUGCCUAAGUGUUGGAGGG
rnacentral:rRNA from 1 species